AGACAAACUAUGGUUUGAGUUCUUAUUUGGAGAGAAUAUUGUAGGCAACAAACAACCAUACAUGUAUGGUAAAAGAGUGCUCAAAAUCAAUACUCGAUACCGUAUUAUCCGGAAGCUUCACCCUAAGUAGCAAAGGACCUAAAGAUAUAUCUGAAUGUCUUUACAUGUUUUCAAAUGUCAAACUUCAAAUUAAUCUCUAACUGAUUUACCUACGUGUUUGUAGGAUGAGAAUGUGGCCCUGUAUGGUAUAGCUUUGAUUGAGAGUGGCUUCAAGUUCACUCAGUUGGAGGUUUUCACUUUCCAUCCAUACAGAUUCAUUGAAGGAAAGAGUAAAUCGGAAGGGUGAUUUCCAGACAUUUUCUUCACAAGGUAGUUAGGUUUUUCAUAGUACUCAACUAUGGAAAACUUAUUGAAUUCGGGC
rnacentral:lncRNA from 1 species